UUCGCAAUGCCCGAAAGGGUGACGAUGCGACGCCGCGUGAGCGAAGAAGGCCCUAGGGUUGUAGAGCUCUGUCGAGGGUUAUGAAAUAUAGAUGGGUUAAUACCCCACUUAUUUGACAAAAGCCCAAAAGGAAGCCACGGCUAACUCUGUGCCAGCAGCCGCGGUAAUACAGAGGUGGCGAGCGUUGUUCGGUAUUAUUGGGCGUAAAGAGCACGUAGGUGGUUUUGUAAGUCAGGUGUGAAAGCCUUCUGUUCAAAGGAAGAACGGCAUCUGAAACUGCAGAUCUUGAGUGUAGGAGGGGAGAGUGGAACUUCUGGUGGAGCGGUGAAAUGCGUAGAGAUCAGGAGGAACACCGGUGGCGAAGGCGGCUCUCUAGUCUGCAACUGACGCUGAGGCGCGAAAGCCAGGGGAGCGAACGGGAUUAGAUACCCCGGUAGUCCUGGCCGUAAACGAUGGGCACUAAGUAGAGGGGUUUU
rnacentral:rRNA from 1 species